rnacentral:lncRNA from 1 species
UUUUAUGUUGACAAUGAUAAUAUUAUAUUCUACAAUCUAUUUGCAUUUCUCUAUCCUGUGGAUUUUAUUGCUUAGUAUAAAUCCCCAGGCUGAGGUGCAUUAAGCUUCACUCAGAGAGAAACAAUGCAUUUUAUCAUAGGGCCGGACAGCUACAUGCACAAGAUGCUACCUGCAGAGAUUGGUUUUUGCCCAGAUGUGCAGGAGAGAUGCACAGAGAGGAAGAAAUGCAUACAUGUGUGCAGAUUUUGGCAUGUGCACAAGAAGCCUGGAAGGAUUUUCUUUGGAUCUACAGUCAAAAUGGAUUUCCGAGAGGAAGCUGUCUGAACACACACCUCUUCCCUGUGCUACAUACGGUCCCAUCUCUGCCAGCCAGGUUGUCAGGAAAGUGAUCAGCACUGGCUUCAACUCUGGCUAGAGCUCUUUGGCCAAUGUGACGGGCAGAAAACUGGAAUGAGGACAGAAAAGCACCUCAGAGGUUUGAAGAGUCGCGUCUCUCACCACCUUGCUAGUAGAGCCAGAGAGAAAUUUGCCCUGGGCCUAAUAUUCAUGAAGCCUUUCCAAUUCAGACUCGGUAUUAUUGCCAAGUCGGUGUGUUUGGGAGAAAUCAGAAGCCAACACACUAGAAAAGUUGCAGGAGAUUCCUAGGGGAACCCACAAAGUCAGUUCCUUGCCAGAAACCUGCUCCUCCAGGUGAAUCCGGUGCAUCGGAUGGGCUCAGAUGCACAGGUGGCGCAAGCAGACCUCUACUGAGAAGAACAACAGUGGAAGGCAGAUGAAACUCACAUUUUGGAGUCUGAGAGCCAUGCGGGCCCACCCCAGUCACGUCUACCCCUGGUCGGUGACCAGAGAAUCCUUUAGCAGCAACAGCAGGGAUGUUUAUUUCACUGGUAUGUAUAAAGCGACUGAUUGAAAACAAGCUGUAUGCCCAACAACUUGGAACUGGUUAAAUGAUUUUUGGUUCAGCCACACGGUGGAAUAUCAUGCGGCCAUUAAGAAUAAAUAAAAAAUCCUAUACUUUCCAUAUUCAACUUUAGACUGCAAACAACUGAAACAACACCUUCACAAUUAGGCUUCCUCAGAUUAGAACGUGAAGUCAAGUCAACGUGUGUCAGAAAGCUAACAACAGCUAACUGUUUGUUGUGGUGUUCUGAGUAACUUGUAUUAUUUUUCAGUUUUUUUUCCCAUUCCUAAUGUGCAAAUGUACUAUUUUUAUUGUAAAAAAACACACACAUUUGUAAAGAGCAAUAACAUAAAUCUCUGCAUAGGCAAAUUGAAAGGAAAUCAGACAAAAUGAUAUCUUUUGGUAGUGGAAUUCUAAAUCAUUUUUUUCUUCAUUAGAGUUUCUGAAUUUUCUGCAUUUGAUAUGUUUACCUUUAUAAAGCGUCAAUCAUAUUUAAGAUGAUUUUUUAAAAGACAAGUAGACAGGGAAAGAGAGGUCUGCUGUUGCAAAACCAAAGCUGGAGGCUCUCCAAAGCCCACUUAUGUUAGUCAAUUGAUAUUUCAUGAAACUCUAGAAUGUGCAAAUCACUUUCCACGGGGAUUGGAGGGGUGAGAAAUACAGAGAUGAAGGAGAUGCAAACACUUUAAUCAAAGAAAUCUGUCCAGUUGGGAAGAGAAGGUUCUGCGUUAUAUAAGUUGCAAGGUCUUAUCCAAGAGGUUAGUCUGUCAAGAGUAAUAGCAAUAAUUACACAACAAUAUGUCAGAGUGGCUGGGAGCUCCAGCUUCAAAGCCACCUUGCCUGGGGGGAAACUCAUUUCCAUUUCUUAACCAUAUUGGGCCUGAGCCUCAGUUACCUACCUCUUCUGUAAAUGUAAACUACCUCUUGGGGUCCUUGUGAGGAUUAAAUGAAACAUGAGCCUAAAGGGGCUGAGCUAGGUGCUUUGCAAAUAAUCGAACCUUAGCAUGAGGCACGUUAUCAUCAUUAUGGCUGUGGUGUUUGUGGUCACCUAUCUGCAAGUCACGCUUUCAUAGAUAUGGCUGAGCUGGGAUUUGAACCCACAUUGAUCUAAUUCCAAAGCCAAUGAUUCCACCCCAACCAGACACUGCAUUUACUCUCUAUGCCUAACUGAAAUUUGUUCUAAACCUCACCCUAAGGUCUUGCCAGAAAGAAAAGCUAAAUUUUCAUUAAAAGAUGAAAGGAGAAAUGAAUCUGUUUCAAAGGACAUGAGAGGAAGAAGGAAAUAUCCCUUCAUGAAGGAUUUUGCAACUUUGUCCAUGCUUCUGCAGGGUGUAAAAGUAAAAAUCCUAUACUUCCCAUAUUCAACGUUAGAUUUUAAACAACUGAACAAGCACUUUCACAAUUAGCCUUCCUCAGAUUGGAAUGCGAAGUCAAGCCAACGUGUACCUCUUACUGCAGAUUUCUGCACUGUGAAUGUGAUAGGAUUUGCCUCCUUAACCAGAGGGUGCUGGUUUUUCCUGGCUGAAGGGUAGAAGGUCAUGAAUAGAGGACAAAGCACAGGGAAGGGGCAGCAUGUGGGGAAGAGCCCCAAGGAUCUCAGUAUGAAAAUAAAGAGGUGUGAGCCAACUGCCCGUAGGUUUGGGCUAUGAGUCUGGGGAAACUGUUUUAAAAUCAGUGGAGGCCCAAAGGCAGAGAGAAAAUUCUGUGUAUGGACUUCCAUGUCAUUCAGAAAUGUUAACUCCUUGAAAAGAGUUAAUAUAUUUUUUUCUUUUUUAAACAUUUCAAUAGGUUUUUGGGGAACAGGUGGUGUUUGGUUCCGUGAAUAAGUUCUUUAGUGGUGAUUUCUGAGAUUUUGGUGCACCCAUCACCUGAGCAGUGUACAUUCUACCCAUUGUGUAGUCUUUUAUCUUUCACUCCCCUCCCACUUAGAAUAACGGUCUCCAAUUCCAUCCAGGUUUGCUGCGAAGGACAUUAUUUCAUUCCUUUUUAUGGCUGAGUUGUAUUCCAUGGUGUAUAUAUAUAUACCACAAUUUCUUUAUCCAAUCAUUGAUUGAUGGGUAUGCAGGCUGGUUCCAUACUUUUCCAAUUGCAAAUUGUGCUGCUAUAAACAUCCAUGUGCAAGUAUAUUUUUGGUAUAAUGAUAUGUUUCCUCUGAGUGGAUACCCAGUAGUGGGAUUGCUGGAUCAAAUGGUAGUUCUACUUUUAGCUCUUUAAGGAAUCUCCACACUGUUUUCCAUAGUGGUUGUACUAGUUUACAUUUCCACCGGCAAUGUAAAAGUGUUUCUUCCUGUCCCUCUGGUCAUCUGUUUUUUUAAGGGAUCUACCUGAACUCAACCAUAACCCAUUCCAUCCACCUCAUCUUGCCUCAAGCUAAGAAAUAGGAGUGCGGAGAAGAAAACAGUACAGAUAAGAGUGCUAGAAGGUUGUGUGUUUGAAUAAGAAGGAACAUGGAUCAGGUUUCAAGUACAGUACCUGAGGCAGGUAUGAGGUAGUAGCUAAUGGGGUGAGGUAGGCAGAAAAGGCUUCUAAAGAAGCAGGUACUUGAGUUGGGUCUUCAAGGCCAUAGUGAGUGGUUUCCCGGUGGAUCUGAGAAAGGAAGGUGAGUUUAGAGAGAGGGAAGAGCCCGCAGUGAGGCAUGAAAAUGUACACUGUGCCUUCAGCGAGCUUGGUGGGUGGCAAUGUCUGGAUCCAAGUGUGUGUGGAGGAGACUUUGCACAAUAAGGCCACUAGGCAGGUAGGAUGGCCCCCAGAGGGUUUUGGCUGACAAGCUGAGGGACAUGCUAUAAGGGUAGGGGCCAGGGGAAGAGAUGGCUCCCUGGCAGUGGGUCCCCUGUGUGCUCAGCAGCUCAUGGAUAACAGAGGAUAACAGGCCCGUACCUCCAUAUUGCCCAACAUGUUAUCACAUCUUCAGUUUGGAGAGAAGAAUUAAAUUCGUCUGAGUUUAUAAUUUACCAGAUGACUUUGGAUAAGCACAUAUUUGGAACCUCAGAUAAUUCAUCCAUUCAUUUGCUCAUUCAGAACAGUUCUUGCGCAUCACUUUAUAUUCAGUGCUGCUGAAGUUUCUUUGGGGGCUACACAGGUUAGUAAGGCUUGGUUUUCAUCUCAGGAACCUUAUAGCCAGAAUGAGGGAGAGGUGAGUACUAACUCCACAGUGUUAUCCCAGUCGCUACUCAUUUCCCUUACCACCACCCCUUCAAACACUUCAGUGUACUUUCAGCUCUCAAGAAAAAUGCAAACUUUCAUCUGGGCCUAAGAAUCUCUAUAUGAACUACCCCUGCUCACCUCUGGAGAGGCAUCCCCUUCCACCACCCUCCCCUCCUUCUUCUCUAUCCUUAUUGCUCCUUUCAAUAGUCCUGACAGGAUCCCUUUCAGCCACAGGCCCUUAGCAAAUGCUGCUGUCACGGCCCAAGUCAUCUUCCCUGGUUCAUGCCUACUUCGGAUUAAAGUUACCCCUCCGGAGAGUGUUCCCGAUCAAUCUGAAUUGACCAAGUCCUUAUUACACACUCUCGAACUCCAUGAGAUGUCCUUCAUAGCUCUCAUCCAAGUUAUAAUUAGUUUGCAUUUAUUUACACAAUGGCUGUAUUAAUGUCUGUAUUCUCCACCAGAAUGAGAGCUUCAUGAGAGCCAGGAUGUGUGUUUUCUCAAAAUCUGCUUUAUUGUGGUCUAAUUUGUGUAUAAUAAACACACCCAUGUUAGGUGUACCUAUCAAUGAAUUUUUAGAAAUUUAUUUAAAAUGUCUAUAUUUGUGUAACCACCAGCACGGCAAUCAAAUACUGAACAUUCCCAUCACCUGAAGAG